AACGAACGCUGGCGGUAUGCUUAACACAUGCAAGUCGCACGAGAAAAGACCGCAAGGUUUUGGAAAGUGGCGCACGGGUGAGAAACACGUAGGCAACCUACCCUUCAGAUCGGGACAACAAUUCGAAAGGAUUGCUAAUUCCGGAUACGAUUUUGGAGUUGUGAAGACUCCGAGAGGAAAGCGGCACUCUGAACUAAGGUCGCGCUGAAGGAAGGGCUUGCGGCCCAUCAGCUAGUUGGUAGUGUAACGGACUACCAAGGCAAAGACGGGUAGCUGGUCUGAGAGGACGAUCAGCCACACUGGAACUGAGACACGGUCCAGACUCCUACGGGAGGCAGCAGUGGGGAAUUUUGGACAAUGGGCGCAAGCCUGAUCCAGCAAUGCCGCGUGCAGGAUGAAGGCCUUCGGGUUGUAAACUGCUUUUGUACGGAACGAAACGGCCCUUUCUAAUACAGGGGGCUAAUGACGGUACCGUAAGAAUAAGCACCGGCUAACUACGUGCCAGCCGCCGCGGUAA
rnacentral:rRNA from 1 species